rnacentral:lncRNA from 1 species
UACAAAAUACUUAGAUUCUUCACAGGUUUCCUUAGUGAUCUCUGUUCUUAAAAGUACCUCCCUCUUUUAUAGGAACCUUGUCCUCAAGGUUUAGAGAUAUCUUGAAAUAAUACUUGUAAAAUCAUCUCUAACCUUGUCAAUUCACUCCAGAAAUCUUUAUAAUUAAUCACGAAGUUAAUGAAAAUUGUAGUGUCUUUCUCUU